GAUGGGUUGUUGCUGGUUCUCUAGGGAGCAUGUGCACACCUUGUCAUCUUUAUAUCUCCACCUGUGCACUUUUUGUAGACCUUUUCAGGUCUAUGUUGCCUCAUUUUACCCCAAUGUAUGUCAAUAGAAUGUUGUGCCUAUAUAUAAUAUAUACAACUUUCAGCAACGGAUCUCUUGGCUCUCGCAUCGAUGAAGAACGCAGCGAAAUGCGAUAAGUAAUGUGAAUUGCAGAAUUCAGUGAAUCAUCGAAUCUUUGAACGCACCUUGCGCUCCUUGGUAUUCCGAGGAGCAUGCCUGUUUGAGUGUCAUUAAUAUAAUCAACCUUCUCUUGUUUUGAGAAUGGUUUGGAUGUGGGGGGUUUGUGGCCUCUCUCAAAAGGUUCAGCUCCCCUGAAAUGCAUUAGCAGAACAACCUUUGCUCAUUGGUGUGAUAACUAUCUACGCUUAUGAAUAUGAGGGGCAGUUCAGCUUUCUAACGGUCUUUGGACAAUUCAUCAUUAAUGUGACCUCAAAUCAGGUAGGACUACCCGCUGAACUUAA
rnacentral:rRNA from 1 species